AACGAACGCUGGCGGCAUGCCUAACACAUGCAAGUCGAACGAGAUCUUCGGGUCUAGUGGCGCACGGGUGCGUAACGCGUGGGAAUCUGCCCUUUGGUUCGGAAUAACAGUUGGAAACGACUGCUAAUACCGGAUGAUGACGAAAGUCCAAAGAUUUAUCGCCAGAGGAUGAGCCCGCGUAGGAUUAGCUAGUUGGUGUGGUAAAGGCGCACCAAGGCGACGAUCCUUAGCUGGUCUGAGAGGAUGAUCAGCCAAACUGGGACUGAGACACGGCCCAGACUCCUACGGGAGGCAGCAGUGGUGAAUAUUGGACAAUGGGCGAAAGCCUGAUCCAGCAAUGCCGCGUGAGUGAUGAAGGCCUUAGGGUUGUAAAGCUCUUUUACCCAGGAUGAUAAUGACAGUACCGGGAGAAUAAGCUCCGGCUAACUCCGUGCCAGCAGCCGCCGCAG
rnacentral:rRNA from 1 species